rnacentral:rRNA from 1 species
AGAGCGAACGCUGGCGGCGUGCUUAACACAUGCAAGUCGAGCGCUCCGCAAGGGGAGCGGCAGACGGGAGAGUAACACGUGGGAACGUACCCUUCAGUUCGGAACAACCCAGGGAAACUUGGGCUAAUACCGAAUACGUCCGUAAGGAGAAAGAUUUAUCGCUGAAGGAUCGGCCCGCGUCUGAUUAGCUUGUUGGUGAGGUAACGGCUCACCAAGGCGACGAUCAGUAGCUGGUCUGAGAGGAUGAUCAGCCUCACUGGGACUGGGACACGGCCCAGACUCCUACGGGAGGCAGCAGUGGGGAAUAUUGGACAAUGGGCGCAAGCCUGAUCCAGCCAUGCCGCGUGGGUGAUGAAGGCCCUAGGGUUGUAAAGCCCUUUCGGCGGGGAAGAUAAUGACGGUACCCGCAGAAGAACGCCCCGGCUAACUUCGUGCCAGCAGCCGC